UACGUAGGUGGCAAGCGUUGUCCGGAUUUAUUGGGCGUAAAGAGCUCGUAGGCGGCUUGUCGCGUCGUCCGUGAAAACCUGGGGCUCAACCCCAGGCUUGCGGUCGAUACGGGCAGGCUAGAGUUCGGUAGGGGAGACUGGAAUUCCUGGUGUAGCGGUGAAAUGCGCAGAUAUCAGGAGGAACACCAGUGGCGAAGGCGGCGAUCUGGGAAGAUACUGACGCUGAGGUGCGAAAGCGUGGGGAGCAAACAGG
rnacentral:rRNA from 1 species